rnacentral:rRNA from 1 species
CCUACGGGGGGCUGCAGUGAGGAAUAUUGGUCAAUGGGCUCACGCCUGAACCAGCCAAGUCGCGUGAGGGAAGACUGCCCUAUGGGUUGUAAACCUCUUUUGUCAGGGAGCAACGCCGGCUACGUGUAGCCGGACUGAGAGUACCUGAAGAAAAAGCAUCGGCUAACUCCGUGCCAGCAGCCGCGGUAAUACGGAGGAUGCGAGCGUUAUCCGGAUUGAUUGGGUUUAAAGGGUGCGUAGGCGGAAUGCCAAGUCAGCGGUAAAAUCGCGGGGUUCAACCUCGCUCCGCCGUUGAAACUGGCGUUCUUGAGUGGGCGAGAGGUAUGCGGAAUGCGUGGUGUAGCGGUGAAAUGCAUAGAUAUCACGCAGAACUCCGAUUGCGAAGGCAGCAUACCGGCGCCCAACUGACGCUGAAGCACGAAAGCGUGGGUAUCGAACAGGAUUAGAUACCCGAGUAGUC